rnacentral:rRNA from 1 species
CCUACGGGUGGCAGCAGUGGGGAAUAUUGGGCAAUGGGCGCAAGCCUGACCCAGCAACGCCGCGUGAAGGAAGAAGGCUUUCGGGUUGUAAACUUCUUUUGUCAGGGAAGAGUAGAAGACGGUACCUGACGAAUAAGCCACGGCUAACUACGUGCCAGCAGCCGCGGUAAUACGUAGGUGGCAAGCGUUGUCCGGAUUUACUGGGUGUAAAGGGCGUGUAGCCGGGUUGACAAGUCAGCUGUGAAAUCCUGCGGCUUAACCGCAGAACUGCAUUUGAAACUGUUUAUCUUGAGUACUGGAGAGGAAGAUGGAAGUCCUAGUGUAGCGGUGAAAUGCGUAGAUAUUAGGAGGAACACCAGUGGCGAAGGCGGUCUGCUGGACAGCAACUGACGGUGAGGCGCGAAAGCGUGGGGAGCAAACAGGAUUAGAUACCCCAGUAGUC